CGGGUACCUACGCGACAGAGUCUAUUUGGACCGUUUUUAUGGUCGUCUGAGGGCUGUUUUUGCCGUUUCCAUGUAGGAGUAUCAUUGGACUUAAAAGUAUUGAAGAUGACGAAAGCCAGUGCAAAGCGUCAGUCAGUGGGGUCAUGCCGUAUUUAUGCCAGUUGUGUUAUAGAACAUGUUACCAAAGCGAGUUGACACUUCGACAAAUAUGAAAACGCGAUAACCAAAUAGAAUAUCGAUGCUUGACGGACUAUCUUUUCCAGAGAGAAUGGCGAAGAAAGAAGAUGUGUAAUAUGCUUCGAUGACGUGAGGGAACAGACACAUCCCAUGAAAUAGAAUAACACAGAGCGAGGAAUACAUUGACUCAAAGGAAUGCUGUAAACAAAUAUGAAAGUGGUACAAAAAACAACGUAGAAAUAUAAAGUUUCGGACGGUUCAACCAUAUGACCACUUGGAUUUAAUACAUCACUAGUGACCGACAAGUGUGAACGCGUGGAACGUAGACAUGAACAUUCAGUGGGUGAGAUGUGCGUCUGAAGUCCGAGUGAAAUGAGAAACGAGGCGUAGCACGCUAUAAUCAGCAUGUCUAUAUACAUACAGUAAACUCACCUGCUACUCACGAUGUCUCGGCAAAUAGGAUUGCAGGAACUCCGACCAACUUCGACACCAAGAUCAUCAAAAGAGGGAGUUCUGAACUGAAAUGCUGUAAAUAUUGGAAGUGUGGACAACAAAAGUAUUGUAAAUCUAUAAUCUGCGCACUAUUAUAAUUGUGUGAUUCUGCGCAUACGUCACAUUGCUUUUGUCGUCACGAUGAAGCCGCCUGAAACUCAGUUACCUGCACAGCGCACGCGCACACCCAUCACUCUGUUUUUCAUAAAGAACUACUGGAUGUCGGUUCAGUUGUCAUGGCUACCAAGGGAAGAAUUAUUUUCGAGAUGCUAUCGCACGUUGCAGUGAUUUCCAGGAGACAUAAAUCAUGACGUGCAAAUUUUACACGCAUUUACAAUCGAUAUAAGUACUAACAAUUAGUAAAAAAACAGAAAACAAACAUUACGUUCGGUGCUUACGUAAUUCACAACGAGUUAUGCAACGUUCGGGGGCGUAGCAUCCCUAUCUUAGUAAGAACAGUCGUCAUAUGACGUGGGCGGGCGACAAUUUUACAAAUGACAUGUGAUACUCCCUUAUUACUAAUAUAAGACAUGAAAAGUGCGUGGUCGGUUUCGCUAACGGCCUUAACUUUUGAAGCAAGCAAUUUAAAUCGUGCUUGGCAAUAUAUAUAUGUAUGUAUGUAUGUAUGUAUGUAUGUAUGUAUACAUGAAAUGAAACACAGUUUUGUGACCCCAUCCCCCUCCACCGCCAACCGAUGAAGAGGUGUAAGUCAGUAGUGCG